rnacentral:rRNA from 1 species
UUGCUCCUUUGACGUUAGCGGCGGACGGGUGAGUAACACGUGGGUAACCUACCUAUAAGACUGGAAUAACUCCGGGAAACCGGGGCUAAUGCCGGAUAACAUGUUGAACCGCAUGGUUCUACAGUGAAAGGCGGCUUUGCUGUCACUUAUAGAUGGACCCGCGCCGUAUUAGCUAGUUGGUGAGGUAACGGCUCACCAAGGCAACGAUACGUAGCCGACCUGAGAGGGUGAUCGGCCACACUGGAACUGAGACACGGUCCAGACUCCUACGGGAGGCAGCAGUAGGGAAUCUUCCGCAAUGGGCGAAAGCCUGACGGAGCAACGCCGCGUGAGUGAUGAAGGUCUUCGGAUCGUAAAACUCUGUUAUUAGGGAAGAACAAAUGCGUAAGUAACUGUGCGCGUCUUGACGGUACCUAAUCAGAAAGCCACGGCUAACUACGUGCCAGCAGCCGCGGUAAUACGUAGGUGGCAAGCGUUAUCCGGAAUUAUUGGGCGUAAAGCGCGCGUAGGCGGUUUUUUAAGUCUGAUGUGAAAGCCCACGGCUCAACCGUGGAGGGUCAUUGGAAACUGAAAAACUUGAGUGCAGAAGAGGAAAGUGGAAUUCCAUGUGUAGCGGUGAAAUGCGCAGAGAUAUGGAGGAACACCAGUGGCGAAGGCGACUUUCUGGUCUGUAACUGACGCUGAUGUGCGAAAGCGUGGGGAUCAAACAGGAUUAGAUACCCUGGUAGUCCACGCCGUAAACGAUGAGUGCUAAGUGUUAGGGGGUUUCCGCCCCUUAGUGCUGCAGCUAACGCAUUAAGCACUCCGCCUGGGGAGUACGGCCGCAAGGCUUAAACUCAAAGGAAUUGAC